rnacentral:rRNA from 1 species
UACGUAGGGUGCGAGCGUUAAUCGGAAUUACUGGGCGUAAAGCGUGCGUAGGCGGUUUGCCGUGUCCUGUGUGAAAGCCCCGGGCUCAACCUGGGAAUUGCAUGGGAAACUGGCAGGCUUGAGUGUGGCAGAGGAGGGUGGAAUUCCGCGUGUAGCAGUGAAAUGCGCAGAGAUGCGGAGGAACACCGAUGGCGAAGGCAGCCCUCUGGGCCAACACUGACGCUGAGGAGCGAAAGCGUGGGGAGCGAACAGG